UAAAGGGGAGGAUUAACUCUCCAAGUUUUAGCAUAUUUUAUUAAUUUCAGUGAAGAGCAAGUGGUUGGUUUUCUAUCUGAUUACAUUGAUGCUUUCAAUCAGGUUCUCUCUCUAGCGGACAGACAAUCAUUGGCAAGGGAUCUCGGUCGGGAACGACGUAAAGAAUUCAAUCAAUAUUUCAAGGGAUGUUCUAGCUCUUGACUAGAUCCCAAACAGGAAAGUAUUUUACCUAAAAAUAAUUGCUGCGAAUUUAUAUUGAUUCAGAUCUAUAUCGUGCUGUUAUUUUAAGGUGUACAUCGGAAGAAGAAAAGAAAAAAAUUCCAUAUCGGUAUUGUACAGAUAGAAGACAACGUCUGCGAAGACG
rnacentral:lncRNA from 1 species